AGUCAGUGGUGAAAGUUUGUGGCUCAACCAUAAAAUUGCCAUUGAUACUGUUGUUCCUGAGUUAUUGUGAAGUGGUUAGAAUGUGUAAUGUAGCGGUGAAAUGCAUAGAUAUUACACAGAACACCAAUUGCGAAGGCAUAUCACUAACAAUAUACUGACGCUGAUGAACGAAAGCGUAGGUAGCCAACAGGAUUAGAUACCCUGGUAGUCUACGCUGUAAACUAUGGUUACUAGCUGUUCGGAGCACAUUAGUGCAUUGAGUGGUUAAGCGAAAGUGAUAAGUAACCCACCUGGGGAGUACGUUUGCAAGAAUGAAACUCAAAGGAAUUGACGGGGGCCCGCACAAGCGGUGGAGCAUGUGGUUUAAUUCGACGAUACGCGAGGAACCUUACCAAGGCUUAAAUGCAUAUUGACAGUUCACGAAAGUGAAUUUUCUUCGGACAAUUUGCAAGGUGCUGCAUGGUUGUCGUCAGCUCGUGCCGUGAGGUGUCAGGUUAAGUCCUAUAACGAGCGCAACCCCUGUGGUUAGUUACCAGCAUGUAAAGAUGGGGACUCUAGCCAGACUGCCGGUGCAAACCGUGAGGAAGGUGGGGAUGACGUCAAAUCAUCACGGCCCUUACGCCUUGGGCUACACACGUGCUACAAUGGUAUAUACAAUGAGCAGCCAUCUGGUGACAGAGCGCUAAUCUAAAAAGUAUAUCACAGUUCGAAUCGGAGUCUGCAACUCGACUCUGUGAAGCUGGAAUCGCUAGUAAUCGCACAUCGGCCAUGGUGCGGUGAAUACGUUCCCGGGCCUUGUACACACCGCCCGUCAAGCCAUGGAAGCUGGGAGUGCCUGAAGUCCGUAGCCGAAAGGAGCGGCCUAGGGUAAAACUAGUAACUGGGGCUAAGUCGUAACAAGGUA
rnacentral:rRNA from 1 species